UACAGAGGUCUCAAGCGUUGUUCGGAUUCAUUGGGCGUAAAGGGUGCGUAGGUGGCGCGGUAAGUCGGGUGUGAAAUCUCGGAGCUUUAAUUCCGAAAUUGCAUUCGAUACUGCCGUGCUCGAGGACUGGAGAGGAGACUGGAAUUCAUGGUGUAGCAGUGAAAUGCGUAGAGAUCAUGAGGAAGACCAGUGGCGAAGGCGGGUCUCUGGACAGUUCCUGACACUGAGGCACGAAGGCCAGGGGAGCAAACGGGG
rnacentral:rRNA from 1 species